rnacentral:lncRNA from 1 species
GAAUCAUUAAUGUUCGAAGAGACCAUUAGGAUCAUCAAGCCCAACCACAGGUCCCUCAGAUGACUGCAUAUAGCAAGUCUCCCCAAAAUACAGGAGGGACACCCAAUCCAGCUUUUCAGGGAUCUCCUGGGCUCUCUGCUUCAACAGUGAAUCACCAAGCCUUGGUGAAACCAUGGCUCUUUCAGGUAAAGAAUCAGCCAAACUGAUGCUGCUCUCUGGAAGUCCAGAAGAGAGGUUACAAGGAGCACCACAAAAAGAGCAUGAAAACAGAAUCAUCACAGAAACAUUCAGAUUGGAUAAGAUCACCAAGAUCAUCAACUCCCACCAUCGAACCACCACCACCAC